GUGGUAGCUGUGGGAAAAAGAAUAAUAAUUAUGUUGUACGUUACUGAAUGAAAUUUGGCUAAUUUUAUACUACGAGUAUAGUUAAAUAUGGUAUAAUUAUAUAGUAAAAUAGGUUAAUUUUUUUUAUCACAAUAAUAUGUUAUUCCUUCGUCAUGAAAAUUAAUAGCGGAGAUGUGUUAAGUAUUUUAUUUAAAAAAAAAAGUAGCUGCACUUGGUAUUUGAACACUGACAUGGUCACAUUGCUCGAGACGUAUACACUUACUGGUGAUAGGACCUUUUGUGAGUCCGCGCGGGUAGUUAUCACCACCUUGCCUAUUUCUGUCGUGAAGCAGUAAUGCGUUUCGGUUUGAAGGGUGGGGCAGCUGUUGUAACUAUACUUGAGACCUUAGAAUUUAUAUCUCAAGUUGGGUGGCGCAUUUACGUCGUAGAUGUCUAUGGGCUUCAGUAACCACUUCACACCAGGUGGGCUAUGAGCUCGUCCACUCAUCUAAGCAAUAAAUAAAAAAACACUGGGCGUCUUAUCUUUUAGACCACGACAACUUCAGAUAAGUAAAUAAUGUAAUGCCUUAAAAUCAAAGUGUAUAAUAUAUAUUUUAUUUAUUUAAUUCAGAAUCAAAACUUAAGGCAGCUCUUGGGCCCACAUUAGCGCGUUCGAAAAUUUCAUUUCAGACACAUAAAUCACAAAGAUUAAACAGAGCACAGAGUUUAAAUAUGUAGCAACUCACUUGUGGGUGGCUCGUUCAGGGUACACAUACUUCAAGUUUUUCUUCAUGUGAUCCACCGAAGACAUCAUCACCUGUACCACCACGAAAGUACACGAUGCUGCAAUAACAAUUUUCAUAAAAAAGAAAUCCUUUCAUUUCCUCUGAAAUAAGUCGAAAAAAUAUUAUAAUAAAAAGAACUUCGACUAUUUUCAACGAUAAAAUAUAAUAAAAUUAUUUCGAAAAGGGUUAACUCCUUCAAGCAUAGUUGUUUUGACAUGAACUUAUAUAAAUGUCACUUCAAGUGAACGAGUGGCACGAAAUCGAGGCGCCUUCUAAGAAUUUCUCAAGUGAUUCAGAGCGUGAAUUUUGUUAGAAAAUAAUCGAACCCUUCAUUAGGUAUUUAUUAUAUUCAACUUAAAAUCUAAUCGUGUAUUUAUUUUAUAAUAUAUUUUGCUGUGGUCUACAAAACAUCAAAAGAACACAUUUUAAGAAAAAGUCCAAAACGAAUUAAAAUUUCUUCGUUACAAGAAGAGAAAUUGAAAAAUUUUACGAAGACAUUGAAUAUGCUCACACCAACACGGAAGGAAAGGGCAGAAAUAGGCGGGGAGGUGGUACCGACCCGUGUGGACUUACAAGACGCCCUAGUACCAGCAAAAAUUAAAUAUUCUGAAUUGAAAAAAACUCCAUAAAACAACGCUGUGCACUAAACAUACCAAACAUUCAAUGUUUUCCCGGGCUUAUCUCAUACGAAUGCUGGAAAUCAUAUCCACGUUGGCUCUGUUAUUGAUGAGAUCAGAGUGCACAGUGACGUAGAUAAACAAAAAACAAACAGUUUUCGAUUUAUUGAUAGGCUAGAUUAAGUUAUUAACUUUUAAAAGGGUUUCCAAUAAAAGUUGAUUGUAUUUAAGACUGCUUUAUUUAAAGUCAGCUUUGCACCAUAACUGUGGUUUCGCAAGAAAGCAAUAAAGAGAAAAUAACUGCUUAUUUAACCUUGAAACAUUACUGAAAAGUUUUGUAUAUUUAGUUAAAAAUUACAUUUUUCAUGUUUUCCUUUUGUGUGUCACAGCUAUGUAGGUAUUUUCUUUAUCUUUGUUUCCUUUUACUCUUUUGGUUGUUUUAUCUUAAAAUUUAUAACAGACUUUUUGUGUGUUUGCAUAAAUAAUAAAAGCUGCCAGUUGGUAGCUUUGUCAAAAAUAUUUGUGGAAGCACUGGAAGAGACUACUUAUUGAAAUAAGUAACGUCUUUGAACCUAAAAUUUUUAUUAUUUUCUCCUUUAAUUUUUUUCGUGAUUUUUUAGUAAAGGUAUUUAGUUUUCUAAAGUCUGGCUGUAGUUAGUCUUUCUUUGUCUGUGUUUUCAGCAUAUACAUAUACUUAAUAUAAUUGAAUCAUAUCUGGGGACGAUUUCAUAUGGAACAUUAAACUUUAAAUAAUUCUGAAGAAAUGUUUAGGUAAGAUAGAUACUUACUAGCUAUAUUCACGUCAUAGGCUGGAUCAGCCGGUCUACCGUUCUCCAUAACUGGCUGUGAGAGAUAAUUUGUGCAUACUGAAACAAUAAUUCAUUAGUAAAACACUCCAUCCAAAAAGUCUAGGACCUCUCGAUUGGCGGAGAGUUCCUUGGCCGUGAUAAUUUUGUUACCCACAUCCAAAAUAAGGAGGAGGCUCUCAAUUCCAUUAUUUUUUUAUGUGUUAUCUCGGAAUGUUUUUUACUUCUCAUAUGGUUCUAUUGAAAUCAUCACAACCUGAAGUUUUUGUGUUAUCCUUAUCCUUAAAUAAGCAUUAUGCAUAUUGGAUACGCAUUAUGCAUAUUUUAUUGACAUUGAAUACAUUGCUGAAAUUCUCAUUUUGUUGUAGUCGUACCAAUUUUUUUAAAUAAAAAUAUUAUACUUUCUA